rnacentral:tRNA from 1 species
UGGGGUGCAGCUCAGUGGUAAAAAGCACUUGCCUAGCAAGCAUGGGCCCUGGGUUUAUCCCCAGUACUUCAA